rfam:Pseudomonas bauzanensis strain CGMCC 1.9095 genome assembly, contig: Ga0066784_101
AAGAGAUAGAGUAGUAGGCUGCAAGCGCACUUUUAGUACGUAAGUUUGUCAUUCUCGCAAUCUUUGAUUCCCACGCUUUAAUUGAGCUUUGCUCAAGUAUUUCAAUUUGAUAGGAAUUAUCUGAAAUGGCAACUGGUACAGUUAAGUGGUUCAACGACACUAAAGGCUUCGGCUUCAUUACUCCUGAUGGCGGCGGUGACGACCUGUUCGCCCACUUCUCCGAGAUCAAGGUUCAAGGCUUCAAAUCCUUGGCCGAGAACCAGAAGGUGUCUUUCGACAUCACUACUGGUCCUAAGGGCAAGCAAGCUGCGAACAUUCAGAUCAUCGGUUAAUUCCGAAUCUGAAUAGAAAAACCCGGCCUCGGCCGGGUUUUUUAU